UCUGAGGAAGAUUUGGGACCCUUUGACCUCCGCAAAAGCAAUACAAGAUGAAAUCAGAGUUAUAAGGAAGCUCGGGGAAGAAUCAAGGAAGGAAAAUUGGGAAGGCAGGGAGAAAAUUAAUUGUAUCGAAGAGAAAUUCAAGGAAAUCGAGAAGAUCAGAAGCAGUUUGAUGAAGCAAUCAGAUGAUUUAUGUCGAAAAAGAGAUGAAGCAAUCCAAUGCAUUCUUAAAUUAAUCGAACAACGCCGUGAAGCUGUAUGUAAUUGCUUACAUUCCUUUUAUGUAUAACAAUUUAUUUUUCUAAAGAAUUUAACCGUCACGAAAUGUUAUUUUUUUUUACGUAAUCGUAAUAACUUGUUAAGAUAAAAUUUAAUUUAAUCACUGCAGUUUCAUUAAUAUACAACUGAUUUGAGUUA